rnacentral:rRNA from 1 species
GCCAUGCAGUCGAGCGCCCGCAGGGGAGCGGCAGACGGGUGAGUAACGCGUGGGAAUCUACCCAUCCCUACGGAAUAACCCAAGGAAACUUGGACUAAUACCGUAUACGACCGAGAGGUGAAAGAUUUAUCGGGGAUGGAUGAGCCCGCGUUGGAUUAGCUAGUUGGUGGGGUAAAGGCCUACCAAGGCGACGAUCCAUAGCUGGUCUGAGAGGAUGACCAGCCACACUGGGACUGAGACACGGCCCAGACUCCUGCGGGAGGCAGCAGCGGGGAAUAUUGGACAAUGGGCGCAAGCCUGAUCCAGCAAUGCCGCGUGAGUGAAGAAGGCCUUAGGGUUGUAAAGCUCUUUUGCCCGGGAAGAUAAUGACGGUACCGGGAGAAUAAGCCCCGGCUAACUCCGUGCCAGCAGCCGCGGUAAUACGGAGGGGCUAGCGUUGUUCGGAAUUACUGGGCGUAAAGCGUACGUACGCGGAUACGCAAGUUGGGGGUGAAAU